UCUCUUCAUAGGUUUUAGUUGCCUUGGUCAUCCUUGCUCACCUUCUUUGAACUUGUCUGAAUUAAUCCGAAUCUUUGACGAAAAGGGGCGCCCAGAACUGGACACAGGAGUUCAGAAUGUGUCCCGAAGAGUCUAAUCUUGCUUCAAGAUUUUCACAAACAACAAAGAUUUUAAGGUGUCACUACAGAUAGGUUUGUUGAUGGUCCAUAUGAUUCAAGAACAUGGAAAAGGAUCCAGACGGAAGUACGUGAGUCGGAAUAGAUUCAUUCUGAAAGCCUCCUCCCAUUUACGUCAGAUAGUUACCUGGAACUGCCAUCUCGUGGCAACCUGGAGGCAACGUGGAACAUUGCAGCAUUAAGAGUGGCCCCUGAAGAUCCUGGCCCUUGUGAUGGAAUGGAAUUAUGAAGGCCACACUCA